rnacentral:rRNA from 1 species
UACGUAGGCAGCAAGCGUUGUUCGGAGUUACUGGGCGUAAAGGGUGCGUAGGCGGUCCUGUAAGUAUGGUCUGAAAUCUCCCGGCUUAACUGGGAGGGUGGGCUAUAGACUGCGGGACUAGAGGGUGGGAGAGGAAAGUGGAAUUCCUGGUGUAGCGGUGAAAUGCGUAGAUAUCAGGAGGAACACCGGUGGUGUAAACGGCUUUCUGGACCAUUUCUGACGCUGAGGCACGAAAGCGUGGGUAGCAAACAGG